AUGUAUCCAGUUUGUAUGGGUGUUUUUGAUUCUGAAACUAAUGAGAACUGGAUCUGGUUCAUGCAAUUGGUUAGGCAAGCCGUAGGAUCCCCAAGGGGUUUAACCAUAUGCACCGACGCUGGGCAGCCAGUGAUGACAGGUGUAAAAGAAGUGUUCCCAGAGGCUGAACAUAGGGAAUGUAUGUUUCACUUGGUGUCCAACUUCAAGAAGAAGUUUCAUGGAAAGGUUUUUGAUGACCACCUUUGGGCUGCUGCUUACUCAUGGAACCCAUAUUUAUUUGAGAAAAAUUGGGUUGCAAUGGACAUAGCAAAGCCAACAGCGACUGCAUAUCUUAGGAAGUGGCACACUAGGUUGUGGUCUAGGAGUCAGUUCUCAACAAUUUCCAAGGUGGAUUAUGUUACAAACAACUUGGCUGAGUGCUUCAAUAAUUGGAUUAAGCAUCACAAGUCCUUGAACUUGGAUGACUUCUUUGAUAAGCUUAGGCAAUUGAUUAUGAUCAUGUGGAACCGAAGGAGAAAGGUAGCAAGAAAGUUAGUUGGGUUGAUUCUUCCCCACAUAAUUAAGAAGUUGAAUGCAAAGACCAGAGAAUUAAACUUGGAGGUGGUUGAAAGCUCAGAAGAAGUUGCUGAAGUAACCGCAUUGGGAGGCAACGGCUUUAGGUUUGUGGUCAACUUGCUUGACAGGACAUGUUCUUGUAGAUAA
rnacentral:rRNA from 1 species